ensembl:lncRNA
AUGCAAGUUACACAAGCUUGCUACAAAAACACAGGCCUGAGGUACUUGGGGGUGGUAAGGGUUGGAAUCUGUGGCGAUCAUCAGCUCCUGGGGAAGCAGAGCUGGAAAACGGCUCACAGAGCUCUGGAGCCAAUGCCCUCCUUUAUCAGGAGAUGGCUAGGCUUCUGGGGAAACUGAGGCCCAUGAGGGGAAGUGAGGGGUUCAACCCUUCCAGCAAGAUAUGGAUACUCUAGGAGGUUAAAGGCUAGUGAGAGGUGACUGGAUCAAAGCUCUUUAAAAUGACAACAAUAAAGGUUUUUUAUUAUGGCAAUUUAAAAAUUGUCCACAAAAGUAGAAAGAAUGGUUUAAGGGACCCUUGCUUCCUCCAUUCAGCUUAAUAAUUAUCAAUAUUUUGCCAAUCUCAUUUCAUCUAUCACCUCCUGACAAGUUUAGAGUGGCAAGUAGAAUUUUAAAAAUAAAUCCCAGAAUCCAAUUAUUUUACACAUUACACUCCAGAGUCCAAAUUCAUUUUUUAAUUUUUUUUAAAGAUUGGCACCUGAGCUAACAACUGUUGCCAAUCUUCUUUUCUUUUUUCCCCUGGUUUUUCUCCCCAAAUCCCCCCAAUACAUAGUUGUAUAUUUUAGUUGUGGGUCCUUCUAGUUGUGUCCAAAUUCGUUUUGAUGGAGGAUUCUGGGGAGAAAAUGAGGCCGAGAUCAGUCCUCUGCGGCAGAACCAGCUGCUGUGGCUUGGGGAGGGUGCUGCUGUUUCCUGCAACUUUUGAAGGAAGGUUUGCACACAUCCCUCCAUCCCCGGGCCUUGAAGUCAGGUUGCAACCUCCCUCCGCCAUGAGUAAUGCUGGGCCCGCCAGACUCAGGCAGCUCCCGGUGGAAAAAAACACCUUGUGAAAUACUGUCUGUAACCAGGAUGAGAGAAAAAAAAUCUUUUGUGGAUCCCUUAUUCACAAUCAUCCUCCUCUUCUAAAUGCAGCCUCCUUCCUGCUAGCGGCCUUGGAGCCCAGCCUGGGUGUCGAUGUCAGCUGAGUCACCUGUGUCAUUCCUAUUAUCUUAUUUACCCGUGUUUGUCAUUUUCUAGCAGCAUGACUCACCCGGCCUGGGGGGAAUCUGGGAGCCUGAAGAGACGAGUCUGUUAUCAAACCCUCACAGCCACUCCUUUGGAAGAAAAAUUCUUUCCCUUUGAACUCUGAGCACCCAAAAGAAGGGGUGUGACAGGCCGAGGGAACAUUUGGGACUUUUGGAAGGGCUGCCGGUCACAUGGUGCCAGGCUCUGGGUCAGGUCUAGGCAGCCUCGUGGAAUUCUGGGAAACUCUCUGCUCCCGCUCUUCAACCUGGCUGCUGGGUCUUCCCAGAGGGUGUGCCAUUCUCCAUCACGUGGAACUGGGCCCUACAGUGGCCGAGGAGAGAAAGCUCUCGAUCCAGCACACAAAGGCGCAUCCCCCAUGGGAGGCAGACAAGGUGACAAGCAGGAAGAGGACCGUUUCCUCAGCCCUCAAGCAUCCCCACUCUGCCCACUCCCAGAUUUGAUAAUAACAACGACCCCUGUGCACUGUUGGCCUCCUAUGCUGGGCACAGGUGCUAUGCUUGCUUCCCUGCAUACAUUCCUGCUUGGAGAGAGCAGGGGAAUCCUUUUAUGUCGUCUCUGGGCCACAGCAGACACUGGGCCUCCCCUUCCACUGUAGCCCACCACCUCCCUGCCACCAAAGGCUUUGUCCUUUACACAGCGGCAGGGAUGACCCUUCCAUGUGGUAGGACAGCUCACAACACUGCCCUGUUUCAAACUCUCCAGGGGCUUCCCUUGGCCCUUAAAAUAAAUCCACAUCCUCACCAUGACCGACAGCCUUGGUAGUCAAAGUGUGGUCCACCAGCCUCAGGUGGAGGGGUUGGGGAGGAGGCCUUGUUAGAAAAGCAGAGUCUCGAGGCCGGCUCUGUUGCCAAGUGGUUAAGUUCGCGCGCUCCGCUGCAGCAGCCCAGGGUUUGGAUCCUGGGCGCGGACAUGGCACUGCUGGUCAGGCCACGUUGAGGUGGCAUCCCACAUCCCACAACUAGAAGCACCUGCAACUAAGAUAUACAACUGUGUACGGGGGGGUUUGGGGAGAUAAAGCAGAAAAAAAAAUUGGCAACAGUUGUUAGCCCAGGUGCCAAUCCUUUAAAAAAAAGAAGAUUGGCAACAGUUGUUAGCCCAGGUGCCAAUCUUAAAAAAAAAAAAAAGAAAAGCAGUCUCGGGUCCCACUCCAGACUUGCUGAAUCAAAGCUGCGGUUUAAUGAGAUUGCACGUGAUCCAUAUCACAUUAAAGUGUGAGAUGCCCCUGCAACCUACAAGGGCCUGGUGGAUGGAGCCCAAGGUUACUGCGUAGGAGAAUCACCUGGGGAGUCUUUAGAACAAUGAUGCCCAGCCCCCAGGCCCCUGGGAUCCUGAUUCAAUCGCUCCUCAAUACCACCUAGAAAGGCCUGCACACUAAACCAGCAGUCUACAUGGUCUCCACUCUUCCUUUGGGUGCCUCCAACUCCUUACCUGUCAAAUGUGGAGGCUGACAAGAUGCUUUCUAGAAGCUCUUAGAGCUCUGACGUUGGACACUCCCAUGGCGAAGCACAGGGGAGAAUUCCUUAUUCAAAAGAACCCUUCAGUGCAAGGAGAAUCUUCCAGAAAUGGAAAUUUGUAUGCCUCCUACAAGCGUUUAGCCUAUUUGUGUUUAUGUGCCCUGUUAAUUGGAUCUGCAGCCUAUGAUAUCUCGUUUUAAUUUAACUAAUCCUCACAAAAUAGACAAGUGAUUUAAAUGAUUACUGAGAAGAAACUGCAAACUGGAGAUAAUAUUAAUGACACAAGCCCAGGGGACCAGCAGAAUGCUGAUGUGCUAUUUCUGCAACUCCUAGUGCUGCCUCUUUUCAGCUAAUUACAGGAUAAAAAGAAUGGCGGGCUAAUUACAUCAAUCACAACAUUGGCCAAAAGACUGGAAAAAUUAAGAAGACUAUUUGAAGCAUGGUCUUUCAUCCACUAUCAUUAAUGAUGACUCUCUCCUUGAGUGAAUAUUGGAUCUUGACGUAGCUAAUGAGAGUGUGCAGCCAUUGCAAUGAACAAAAUGUUUAGAAACUUCUUUCAGCUACUUAAAGUCAUAAUAUACUCAAUCCAGCCCUUUACAAAAUUUGAUUAAAUUUUUGAUAAUUUUGAAUUUACUACUUAAUUUUGAAAGUGAAAGUCCAUAGCCCAUUGGUCAAACACUUGCUCUACAUGCUAUAGUGAAAAUAGCUGAAGAAAUAUCUGAAAACUAUAUAGUGACACAUUAAAAUAGACUCCUUGGUCAUUAAACAUUUUUGGAAGAUGCAUAGAACUUGUUGUUAAAGAAUUGAAGAAAUGUUAAAACAAAUAAUUCAUUGUGAGAAGUUUACCCUACAACUGUUGGAAAGUAGUACAGAUGUUUCAACAUAUUUUGGCUUAUGCUAUUUCCAGAUUCUUCAUGGCAAUAAUAAAAUCUGUUGGAGGACCCUUUCUUAUGAGUUCAGAAAAAAGCACUUUCUCAAUGGUAAAUGAGUUUCUUAACAAAAGCAAUGUUUUGGUUUUAUGUUGACAGGAAUGAAAAAAUAGGUAAAUUUCACAAGCUAGUACCUUAUGUGAAAUUUAUUUGCUGCAUUUUCUUUUUAAAGAUUGGCACCUGGGCUAACAACUGUUGCCAAUCUUCCUUUUUUUUUUGUUUUUAAAGAUCGGCACCUGGGCUAACAACUGUUGCCAGUCUUCCUUUUUUUUUUUUAAAGAUUGGUACCUGGGCUAACAACUGUUGCCAGUCUUUUUUUUUUUCUGCUUUCUCUCCCCCAACCCUCCCGUACACAGUUGUAUAUCUUAGUUGCAUGUCCUUCUAGUUGUGGGAUGUGGGAUGCCGCCUCAACGUGGCCUGAUGAGCGGUGCCAUGUCCGCGCCCAGGAUCCGAACCCUGGGCCGCCACAGAGGAGCGCGCGAACUUAACCACUCAGCCACGGAGCUGGCCCCUUGCUGCGUUUUCUAUAGCAAGCUAUUGAAGUCAGGAACAAAGCCACAAAAGCACAGGGCACGAUAGGAUGUCACUGAUGGGGAUCAUUAUACAGAGACAGGAACUUUACAAUAUAGAAGAAUCUGUGCAAUACUUCAUCAUUAGAUAGGCAGUGCACCUGAAAAUAUUUCGUUCAAGCAGAGACUCCUUCAUUCUCUUUUGCAAAGUAUUUGAAGCAAUGAGAGAACAUAAAAUCAAGGUUCUAAAUGAUUUGAUCUUUUCAAGGAUGACAAAUGACUGUCAGGAGUCUAAGUUUUCCCUUCAGGGUAAGUGUCACGAUUUAAUAAUAAAUGAGAUGGUAACUGCCUUUCAAAAGAAACGUGUAAACCACAGAGAGAGACCUUCAUACAUGCACCAAAAUGGCCACAAUGAAAAAGACAGACAAUCCCAAGAGUGGAUGAGAAUGUGGAGCAGCCAGAACUCCCACAGUGGUGGGAGUGUAAAUUCGUGGAACCGGUUCAGGCAACUGUCUGGCAGUAUCUGCAAAAGCAGAACAGAAGGAAACCCAAGGACCCAGCAAUUCUACCUUAGGAGUGCACCCAAUGGAAAUAGAAAUGUGUUCACCAAAAGUCAGGCAGUGAAACGGGCAUAGCAGCGUUAUUCCUAACACACGAACCCUGGAAUUUACCCAAAUGCCCACUCAAAGCGAAAUGAAUAAACUUACUGGUGUGUAUUCCCACAAGACAGUACUACAUGCAGUGAGAACAAAUGAUCUGUGACAACCUCAGUGACAUGGAUGAAACUCACAAAUGACAUUUUGGGCAAAAGGAGCCAGACAUCAAAAAGGGUGCCUCCUGUAUGAUUCCACUUACAUGAGGUUAAAAAAAAAGGCAAAACUA